rnacentral:rRNA from 1 species
GAUGAACGCUGGCGGCGUGCCUAAUACAUGCAAGUCGAGCGAACAGACGAGGAGCUUGCUCCUCUGACGUUAGCGGCGGACGGGUGAGUAACACGUGGAUAACCUACCUAUAAGACUGGGAUAACUUCGGGAAACCGGAGCUAAUACCGGAUAAUAUAUUGAACCGCAUGGUUCAAUAGUGAAAGACGGUUUUGCUGUCACUUAUAGAUGGAUCCGCGCCGCAUUAGCUAGUUGGUAAGGUAACGGCUUACCAAGGCGACGAUGCGUAGCCGACCUGAGAGGGUGAUCGGCCACACUGGAAUUGAGACACGGUCCAGACUCCUACGGGAGGCAGCAGUAGGGAAUCUUCCGCAAUGGGCGAAAGCCUGACGGAGCAACGCCGCGUAAGUGAUGAAGGUCUUCGGAUCGUAAAACUCUGUUAUUAGGGAAGAACAAAUGUGUAAGUAACUAUGCACGUCUUGACGGUACCUAAUCAGAAAGCCACGGCUAACUACGUG